GCUUAACGCAUGCAAGUCGAGCGAUGAGGCUCCCUUCGGGGAGUACAUCAGCGGCAGACGGGUGAGUAACACGUAGAUAACCUGCCCUCAAGACGGGGACAACCGGUGGAAACAGCGGCUAAUACCCGAUAUGCUCACAGGAUCGGGAGGUCGAGUGAGGAAAGGCUUCGGUGCUUGAGGAGGGAUCUGCGGCCCAUCAGCUAGUUGGUGAGGUAACGGCUCACCAAGGCGAAGACGGGUAGGGGGUGUGAGAGCAUGGCCCCCCACAAUGGGACUGAGACACGGCCCAUACUCCUACGGGAGGCAGCAGCGGGGAAUAUUGCGCAAUGGACGGAAGUCAGACGCAGCGACGCCGCGUGGGUGAGGAAGGCCUUCGGGUUGUAAAGCCCUUUUCAGGGGAGCGAGAAAGGACGGUACCCUUGGAAUAAGCGUCGGCUAACUACGUGCCAGCAGCCGCGGUAAGACGUAGGACGCAAGCGUUAUCCGGAUUUACUGGGCGUAAAGCGCCUGUAGGCGGUCAAGUAAGUCGGAUGUGAAAGCCCCGUGCUCAACGCGGGGAAGCCAUUCGAUACUGCGUGACUAGAGAACGGCAGAGGGAAACGGAAUUUCUGGUGUAGCGGUAAAAUGCGCAGAGAUCAGAAAGAACACCGAUGGCGAAGGCAGUUUCCUAGGCCGCAUCUGACGCUGAGAGGC
rnacentral:rRNA from 1 species